UACAGAGGUCCCAAGCGUUGUUCGGAUUCAUUGGGCGUAAAGGGUGCGUAGGCGGCGCGGUAAGUCGGGUGUGAAAUCUCGGAGCUUAACUCCGAAACUGCAUUCGAUACUGCCGUGCUUGAGGACUGGAGAGGAGACUGGAAUUUUCGGUGUAGCGGUGAAAUGCGUAGAUAUCGUAAGGAAGACCAGUGGCGAAGGCGGGUCUCUGGACAGUUCCUGACGCUGAGGCACGAAGGCCAGGGGAGCAAACGGG
rnacentral:rRNA from 1 species